UACGUAGGGGGCUAGCGUUGUCCGGAAUCAUUGGGCGUAAAGAGCGUGUAGGCGGCUCGGUAAGUCCGCUGUGAAAGUCCAGGGCUCAACCCUGGAAAGCCGGUGGAAACUGUCAAGCUUGAGUCCGGAAGAGGCGAGUGGAAUUCCUGGUGUAGCGGUGAAAUGCGCAGAUAUCAGGAGGAACACCAAUGGCGAAGGCAGCUCGCUGGGACGGUACUGACGCUGGAGACGCGAAAGCGUGGGAGCAAACAGG
rnacentral:rRNA from 1 species